rnacentral:rRNA from 1 species
AAUCCAUAGGUUAAUGAGGCGAACCGGGGGAACUGAAACAUCUAAGUACCCCGAGGAAAAGAAAUCAACCGAGAUUCCCCCAGUAGCGGCGAGCGAACGGGGAGGAGCCCAGAGCCUGAAUCAGCAUGUGUGUUAGUGGAAGCGUCUGGAAAGGCGCGCGAUACAGGGUGACAGCCCCGUACACAAAAGCGCAUGUGCUGUGAGCUCGAUGAGUAGGGCGGGACACGUGGUAUCCUGUCUGAAUAUGGGGGGACCAUCCUCCAAGGCUAAAUACUCCUGACUGACCGAUAGUGAACCAGUACCGUGAGGGAAAGGCGAAAAGAACCCCGGCGAGGGGAGUGAAAAAGAACCUGAAACCGUGUACGUACAAGCAGUGGGAGCACAGGUUUACCUGUGUGACUGCGUACCUUUUGUAUAAUGGGUCAGCGACUUAUAUUCUGUAGCAAGGUUAACCGAAUAGGGGAGCCGGAGGGAAACCGAGUCUUAAUUGGGCGUUAAGUUGCAGGGUAUAGACCCGAAACCCGGUGAUCUAGCCAUGGGCAGGUUGAAGGUUGGGUAACACUAACUGGAGGACCGAACCGACUAAUGUUGAAAAAUUAGCGGAUGACCUGUGGCUGGGGGUGAAAGGCCAAUCAAACCGGGAGAUAGCUGGUUCUCCCCGAAAGCUAUUUAGGUAGCGCCUCGUGAAUUCAUCUCCGGGGGUAGAGCACUGUUUCGGCUAGGGGGCCAUCCCGGCUUACCAACCCGAUGCAAACUGCGAAUACCGGAGAAUGUUAUCACGGGAGACACACGGCGGGUGCUAACGUCCGUCGUGAAGAGGGAAACAACCCAGACCGCCAGCUAAGGUCCCAAAGUCAUGGUUAAGUGGGAAACGAUGUGGGAAGGCCCAGACAGCCAGGAUGUUGGCUUAGAAGCAGCCAUCAUUUAAAGAAAGCGUAAUAGCUCACUGGUCGAGUCGGCCUGCGCGGAAGAUGUAACGGGGCUAAACCAUGCACCGAAGCUGCGGCAGCGACACUGUGUGUUGUUGGGUAGGGGAGCGUUCUGUAAGCCUGCGAAGGUGGCCUGUGAGGGUUGCUGGAGGUAUCAGAAGUGCGAAUGCUGACAUAAGUAACGAUAAAGCGGGUGAAAAGCCCGCUCGCCGGAAGACCAAGGGUUCCUGUCCAACGUUAAUCGGGGCAGGGUGAGUCGACCCCUAAGGCGAGGCCGAAAGGCGUAGUCGAUGGGAAACGGGUUAAUAUUCCCGUACUUGGUGUUACUGCGAAGGGGGGACGGAGAAGGCUAUGUUGGCCGGGCGACGGUUGUCCCGGUUUAAGCGUGUAGGUGUGUGUUCCAGGUAAAUCCGGUUCACUUUAACACUGAGGCGUGACGACGAGGCACUACGGUGCUGAAGCAACAAAUGCCCUGCUUCCAGGAAAAGCCUCUAAGCAUCAGGUAACAUCAAAUCGUACCCCAAACCGACACAGGUGGUCAGGUAGAGAAUACCAAGGCGCUUGAGAGAACUCGGGUGAAGGAACUAGGCAAAAUGGUGCCGUAACUUCGGGAGAAGGCACGCUGACACGUAGGUGAAGUGAUUUACUCAUGGAGCUGAAGUCAGUCGAAGAUACCAGCUGGCUGCAACUGUUUAUUAAAAACACAGCACUGUGCAAACACGAAAGUGGACGUAUACGGUGUGACGCCUGCCCGGUGCCGGAAGGUUAAUUGAUGGGGUCAGCGCAAGCGAAGCUCCUGAUCGAAGCCCCGGUAAACGGCGGCCGUAACUAUAACGGUCCUAAGGUAGCGAAAUUCCUUGUCGGGUAAGUUCCGACCUGCACGAAUGGCGUAAUGAUGGCCAGGCUGUCUCCACCCGAGACUCAGUGAAAUUGAACUCGCUGUGAAGAUGCAGUGUACCCGCGGCAAGACGGAAAGACCCCGUGAACCUUUACUAUAGCUUGACACUGAACAUUGAGCCUUGAUGUGUAGGAUAGGUGGGAGGCUUUGAAGUGUGGACGCCAGUCUGCAUGGAGCCGACCUUGAAAUACCACCCUUUAAUGUUUGAUGUUCUAACGUGGACCCGUAAUCCGGGUUGCGGACAGUGUCUGGUGGGUAGUUUGACUGGGGCGGUCUCCUCCUAAAGAGUAACGGAGGAGCACGAAGGUUGGCUAAUCCUGGUCGGACAUCAGGAGGUUAGUGCAAUGGCAUAAGCCAGCUUGACUGCGAGCGUGACGGCGCGAGCAGGUGCGAAAGCAGGUCAUAGUGAUCCGGUGGUUCUGAAUGGAAGGGCCAUCGCUCAACGGAUAAAAGGUACUCCGGGGAUAACAGGCUGAUACCGCCCAAGAGUUCAUAUCGACGGCGGUGUUUGGCACCUCGAUGUCGGCUCAUCACAUCCUGGGGCUGAAGUAGGUCCCAAGGGUAUGGCUGUUCGCCAUUUAAAGUGGUACGCGAGCUGGGUUUAGAACGUCGUGAGACAGUUCGGUCCCUAUCUGCCGUGGGCGCUGGAGAACUGAGGGGGGCUGCUCCUAGUACGAGAGGACCGGAGUGGACGCAUCACUGGUGUUCGGGUUGUCAUGCCAAUGGCACUGCCCGGUAGCUAAAUGCGGAAGAGAUAAGUGCUGAAAGCAUCUAAGCACGAAACUUGCCCCGA